GCCAGGGAUGAUGGGAAGCCUGUUCUUGUUUAUCGGUUUGUACGGAACUUCACCCGCGGUAGAGAAAACAUCUGAGCCCAUGAAUUGCCAGACCCUGGAUACCUGAGACACAUCCACUUGCUUCUCAGGUUUGGAGUGCAUAAUGAGGAGAAAUAAAAACAGAAAGAUCUCCAGAAAGAAGCCAUGGUAAGAUUCAAGGUUUCACAGUCCAAGCUAAUGCCUGUGGACACUUGACCAAGUGAUCUGAGAAAAUUGGAUUUCUGGCAAAACAAGUGUACCUAGACUCAGGCAAGGGUGGAGAACAGAGGGCGACUAGAUUAAAUGGAAAGAAUGCCCAGGCAUCCCAUUGCCUCCCUUUGACGUUCCAGAACUUCAUCAAGACAGUGAUGAGCUACAUGUACACCUGGAGGAGGACCAUGCAGAAUACCAUCCAGCGCCAUGAACACUAGUCAGUCAGUCAGUAAUGGUGGGCUUCUUGGUGUGCUCCAGCUCAAUUUUCUCAUGUUUGAUGAUUAGUUCAGGAUCAAGCUCAGAAGCGCACAGCUGCCAGCAAGCAGUCUACUACUGAACUGCACCAUCUCUCCAGCCUGUGCUUACUCUUGAAUAGCCCCAAAGUAGUCAAUGGUAUGGCAAAAUAAACCUCCAUUUCAUUUAGAUUUUUAUAGUAUUUUUUGCCACUUAAAUUAUUUUAUGUAGUUGAGUAUGAUUUUUUUUCCCCCUAAGGAAUUCUAUGUAUCUCAAUUUCAAGAGUCUUCAGCCUUUAUGUUAUACAUAAUUUCCUAUAGAUUUCAAAGUUGCUUUAAUAAAAAGUUUAAUGUUAAAACA
rnacentral:lncRNA from 1 species